GGAACCUGCUGACAUGUGAUGUGUGCCCCGGAUACCCAGCUUUAAAAUUUCUCUCUUUUGUACUCUUUCCCUUUAUUUCUCAGACCGUCCAACACUUAGGGAAAUAGAAAAGAACCUACAUGAAAUAACAUUGAAUUAUUUGGGGUGGGUUCUCCUGAUAUCUGGCCCACCAACAUGGUUUUUUCUUUUUCCCAAGUGCAUGUGGGAACCCGAUUCCCUUUGGUAGGUGCAGAGAAACGUCAUCGGUUUGGUCCACAGAAAUGCUUGUUCGACUCCCUGACGACUGGAAACCCAUGCUAAGACAACACUGGCAGUGGCCCUGGAAAAGUAAACCUCAUGAUGGAUUUGGAGUUGGAUUGUUCACUGAUCUGAAGGACAGAGGACUCCACUUAAGUGUCCACCAGGGUUGACCAGACUUGGAGAACUGACUCUCAUAAAUUGAACUCACCAAAACCUGAGUUAUGGAGGCUGGGAAGUCCAAGAACAAAGGACCAAAAGAUUCAGUAUCUGUUGAGGGCUGCUCUUCGUCUCCAAGAUGGCGCCCAGCUGCUGCAUCCUGCUGAGGGGAGGAAUGCAGUGUCCUCACAUGGCCAAAGGCUGAAGGGCAAGCUAGACGAACACUGC
rnacentral:lncRNA from 1 species